CACAUGCAAGUCGAGCGGAUGAAGGGAGCUUGCUCCCUGAUUUAGCGGCGGACGGGUGAGUAAUGCCUAGGAAUCUGCCUGGUAGUGGGGGAUAACGUUCCGAAAGGAACGCUAAUACCGCGUACGUCCUACGGGAGAAAGCAGGGGACCUUCGGGCCUUGCGCUAUCAGAUGAGCCUAGGUCGGAUUAGCUAGUUGGUGAGGUAAUGGCUCACCAAGGCGACGAUCCGUAACUGGUCUGAGAGGAUGAUCAGUCACACUGGAACUGAGACACGGUCCAGACUCCUACGG
rnacentral:rRNA from 1 species